rnacentral:lncRNA from 1 species
GUUCUGGUUGCUAUGCCCUUUUGUGGCUGUGACUGCCCGCCCUCACAACGGCCCGUUUUCUUCCCAGUGCUCUGAACUUUUGGGCAAAUGUGUCAAGUGUGUACACAGACAAAGCCUCACUUCAAAGCUCGUGUUCAGGGCCCUUAAAGUCAUAGUUAUUGCAAAACUGCGGCCGUCUGGCGAACCUGCCUUAUGUAAGGGUGCUUGAACGUAUGAUUCACCAAACAUUUCCGCAGACAUCGCAAAGUUGUUGGAGCCAGAGUAGGAGAAAGACCACCCAUUUGAGAUCAUGGCUUGACAGGUCUCACAGGACAACUCAUCUCUCCACCUCUAUCCCCGUUUGGCGAGGCCUGUAUUUCGUGCCGUUUUUUUUUGGGGGGGGGCGGGGGAGUGGGGGGGGGUCAAGUUAACUCAUCUUUCAUGAUUUGUCUUAGGGAACACUCCCUCCUGCCACCAGAAUGGGACCAAUCUAGACAUCUCUUCUCUGGCUUCCUUGUGCCUGGCCUUUUUUGGAGGGUUGGGAUAGUGGCCUGUCUUCAUGCAUGGUGAGAUAACACCAACAUCGAAGGAAGAUCUUUGCCACAGAGGAUCCUAGUUCCAGCUCCCAGGUAUCGGCCCCAACGCCUCCUAUCUUGUGGAUCGAGUUCCUGUGGAGGAAGCUAACACAGCGGUAAGCAAAUGUGGACUGACAGAGGACACAGGGCCAUUCGAGAAACUGUCAGAAACUGAGAAUCACCUCAGAACACGCUGAGAAGGAGAGCUAAGGAGGUUCUCUGAAGUCUGGCAUCUGUUCUGCUCGGUUCUGUGUUUCAAGGGUCUGACCCUAAGCCUGGCUUCUUUAAAAAGCAAAACAAAAUGGAAGACGCCCGCCCCGGAGAUGAAUUCUGGGAAGUUAGUCUUUGGGAGAAAGGUCGCUCUCCAGGAAGAAUUUCUGAGCCAGGUGAAACAUUGCUUCAAUCACACAAGAAUGAAACAACCUUCUGACACCCCUACUACCACCACUACCUCCCUUCACAUGAGUGAACUUGGAACACAGGCUGGCCCUGUUUGGACCAUGCUCAUUCUGAGAUCCACAGGCUCAUGGGUGAGCAACAAUGUUGUUAAAAGCAGCCAAUCGUGACUGUGGCCUUUUAACUUCUCAGCUGAGAAAGAAAAGACAGCGGGUGCCUUUAUACUGCAAAACAAGACCUUCUUGAUGAAGAUUUUGUGCAAUGCAUUGUGACCAUACUUAAGGUGCAUCCAGUUAGACAUGCUCAGUUUUCAGUGACCCACAAAGAGGGACAUGACUGUAAAAUGAAACAACUCAAAAUACCUUGGGAUGGAUGGAGCUCGGGGAAGAAGAGCUCAGACAUAGACAGCAGGGAAGGUCACUUAUGCCAAGAUGAAGUGUAAAUAUUUUAUCCAGGGGACGGCAGGGACAGGAUGGGCACAGGCGAGAAUGGUGUGUAUCCACAGCUUCACACAUACCUACUUCUAUCCACGCCUGUAUGUUGGCAUAGAUGUUAUCAGAUUUCUUAAGAGUCUAAUUUUAAAGCCGCUACUGACACCUUUCUGUGGGACAGGAUAAAAAAGAGUGGGCAGCAAGCCUGCAUUUUGAGAAGAAGCCUCUUUGCACCCCACAUUUAAGAUCCCUCUUGGCUGUGAAAGAAAACCAAAGAUACAAAACCACACAGAAGCAGAGCUUAAUGGAUGAUGGUAAGGAUGUUGGAUCAUAGCUGCCCUCUUCCCGCCUCAGGAACCACUCUUUUUGAAUAAAAUCAUUGCCUCCCUGCAUUCCCUUCUAGGUAGCCAUCUCAAUGUGUGGCCCUCAACACUGCAGGUUAACAUUGUCCCUUCUCUUGGAAAUUGUUUGAUAUCCUAUCAAGUAAUUUCUAAUACU